ACGGCUCAGUAACACGUGGACAACCUGCCCUUAGGUUGGGUAUAAACCCGGGAAACUGGGUAUAAUACCCGAUAGGUCUCGAUUGCUGGAAUGCAUCGAGAUAUAAAGCUCCGGCGCCUAAGGAUGGGUCUGCGGCCUAUCAGGUAGUAGUGGGUGUAGCGUACCUACUAGCCUACGACGGGUACGGGUUGUGAGAGCAAGAGCCCGGAGAUGGAUUCUGAGACACGAAUCCAGGCCCUACGGGGUGCAGCAGGCGCGAAAACUUUACAAUGCUGGCAACAGCGAUAAGGGAACCUCGAGUGCCAGGUUACAAAUCUGGCUGUCGAGAUGCCUAAAAAGCAUUUCAUAGCAAGGGCCGGGCAAGACCGGUGCCAGCCGCCGCGGUAACACCGGCGGCUCGAGUGGUAACCGUUAUUAUUGGGUCUAAAGGGUCUGUAGCCGGCCGGAUAAGUCUCUUGAGAAAUCUGGCAGCUUAACUGUCAGGCUUUCAGGAGAUACUGUCGGGCUCGAGGCCGGGAGAGGUGAGAGGUACUUCAGGGGUAGGGGUGAAAUCUUGUAAUCCUUGAAGGACCACCAGUGGCGAAGGCGUCUCACCAGAACGGACCUGACGGCAAGGGACGAAAGCUAGGGGCACGAACCGGAUUAGAUACCCUGGUAGUCCUAGCCGUAAACGAUACUCGCUAGGUGUCGGCCACGGUGCGACCGUUGUCGGUGCCGUAGGGAAGCCGUGAAGCGAGCCACCUGGGAAGUACGGCCGCAAGGCUGAAACUUAAAGGAAUUGGCGGGGGAGCAC
rnacentral:rRNA from 1 species